rnacentral:rRNA from 1 species
GACGAACGCUGGCGGCGUGCUUAACACAUGCAAGUCGAACGGAAAGGCCCUGCUUGCAGGGUACUCGAGUGGCGAACGGGUGAGUAACACGUGGGUGAUCUGCCCUGCACUUCGGGAUAAGCCUGGGAAACUGGGUCUAAUACCGGAUAGGAGCCAUUUUUAGUGUGAUGGUUGGAACGUUUUUUCGGUGUAGGAUGAGCUCGCGGCCUAUCAGCUUGUUGGUGGGGUAAUGGCCUACCAAGGCGGCGGCGGGGAGCCGGCCUGAGAGGGUGGACGGCCACAUUGGGACUGAGAUACGGCCCAGACUCCUACGGGAGGCAGCAGUGGGGAAGAGUGCACAAUGGGCGCAAGCCUGAUGCAGCGACGCCGCGUGGGGGAUGACGGCCUUCGGGUUGUAAACUCCUUUCGCUAGGGACGAAGCUUUUUGUGACGGUACCUAGAUAAGAAGCACCGGCUAACUACGUG